AGGGGUGAAUAAGGCAGAAGCGGAGGGGACAGUCACAGCCAGGACAGGAAUGUCACCCCUAGCUGGCAGACAGCGCUCUGAGCAGUCUGGCCUGGGAUCCUCUGCCCUGCCCACUACUUCAGGAGGCCAGUGUGCUCACUGCCAUCCCACAGCCUGGGGACCCUGGACUCCAAACCUGCGAGUGCUGGAGCGGGCAGCUGGAGCGGGCAGCUGGAGACCACCCGGACACUUUAAAACACAGGUGCUCGGCGGGAACAAAUCUCUGCUGGGGUGGGAGGGGAGAGGGAUGGGGGACGCUGCGUCCCAGGCCCUCUGUGAUUUUCUGAUGGACUUCCUUCCUUGGGAGCACUGGCUCAGGGAGCUCCUGGCCUCUCCUCCUCUACCGCUUCCUCCGCCAACCGCCUCCACCUGCUCCCGGCCUGAUGUCCGCAAAGUCAUGGGUGCAGUAGUCCACGUCCAGGCUCACUGCGGAGGCAGCCCUCUUCAGACAGGAGGCAGAAGAGACGGUCCCAGCAGGUUAGCUUUUACUUUAAAAUUAUUAUGUAAUUAUGUAUAUUAUUAUUGUCAUCAACAUCUUUUUAUUCUGCAAAUACUAAUUUCAUGUCCAGUAUGGGUAGGCUCUGUGCAAGGUAAAUUACUAAGUUUUGUUAAUGAAGUCAAACCAAGUCAUGGAUUCUAUAAAAAGACAACUAUUUUAAAAUAUGGCAUCAAUGACAUUAUAUAGUUAAGAUAGUAUAAAGACACGACUUGGAACGAGCAAACGUGGGAACAAGGCAAGGAGAACAUUUAGCUUCCUUUCAGAGUGCUCACACUAAUUGCUGAUGAAACAUUUCUGCACUCGGCAGAGAAUCAGUCCAUAGCCCCCCUCUGAUUUAAAUGUGGCCCAGCUUGGACUUUGAGAGCAAAUGUCCCAGCGCCCCUGGGAAGAAGUGAUGCAAUUCUCUCUUUGUGCUCUGUUUAUCAUUUCUGAGAAGCAAUGACGCACCUGCCUCUUGCAGUUUGGUCUAAUUACUUGUCUGAUCUCCCCCACGGAGAUGCAGCUCUGUUCUCCCUUGGUCUCCAGAGAGUGGGGGCCGCAGACUCUCCUGGAGGAGUGGGGCUGGCCAUCAUGGGCGGGGGGCGGGCGUGGAGACCCUUCGAAGCUGAUCUGUAUUGCAGGGUGCGGAGUAGGUCUGGGGGUUCCUGCGCCUCUCAUCUUUAAAAACCAGCAAUAAGGUAGUUUACUGUGAGCCAGGCCCAUCAUUCUCUUUCCUCCCUGGAGCCAUCGACGAGUCUUCCCCUAAGGGCUGGAAGGGAGGGUCCCCUUUCUUUGAUUCCCCUUGCAGUUCCUCUGAUGCUGAAGAGUAGGGCUUGCAGGGACUCUGCCUCCUGCAGGGAGCAGCCACUGUUUCCAGGGACCCUCCCAGAAGAGGAGCUAAUUUCACACUUUGGGACUCCGUGGAAGCCGGCUUCCUGGCAGUUUGAAGCGUGCUUCUCACACAUCUUCCACCAGCUUGUUCGUCUGCCUAUAUCUGAGGAUCCUUUAAAGUGAUUGAAACAAAAUUAAGGGCAGAAUGAAUCUUUGGUGAUGAAAGUGAGAAUCUGGGAGAGAUGUGAAAACUGGAAGAGAAACGGGCAGUACCUCCAGGAUUCGCCUAAACAGAUGCUGUGGUUUCCAUCAAACCACAGGCCACCCCAGCAUCUCAGUGGCUUCUACAGGUUGUCCUGAGAGAGCUACAAGGCCAGGGCCCUUGAGGGAUUCCCAGACACCAGCUGCUCCUCCAGGCACCAGUUCCGCCCUCCACCUUUCUGUGCCCGUCCCAGACCCAGGCAGCCCAGGUGAGAAGCUAUGGGUAGGAGGUUUCCCAGUGGGUAGGGGUGCCAGACUAAGCAGCUAGAAAUAUAGAAUGCUGGUUAAAUGCAAAUUUCAGAUCAAUGAUAAAUAAUUUUUUGUGUAAGUGUAUCCCAUGCAGCAUUUGAAAUACAGUUUAAUCAAAUUUAACUAGAUGACCUGCAUGUUGUACGAAACUCCCUAGGGGGUGUGUCUCCAGGAUAGAGCACCAGUGGAGAAUGGUAGCCCACACUGUUAUGGGAUGAAGUGUGUCCCCCAAAAUCAACAUAUUGCCGCCCUAACCCCCAGAACCCCGGAAUAAAACUAUUAUUUGGAGUUAAGGUCUUU